rnacentral:rRNA from 1 species
UCAUUGCUAUUGGGGUCCGAUUUAGCCAUGCUAGUUGCACGAGUUCAUACUCGUGGCGAAAAGCUCAGUAACACGUGGCCAAACUACCCUACAGAGAACGAUAACCUCGGGAAACUGAGGCUAAUAGUUCAUACGGGAGUCAUGCUGGAAUGCCGACUCCCCGAAACGCUCAGGCGCUGUAGGAUGUGGCUGCGGCCGAUUAGGUAGACGGUGGGGUAACGGCCCACCGUGCCGAUAAUCGGUACGGGUUGUGAGAGCAAGAGCCCGGAGACGGAAUCUGAGACAAGAUUCCGGGCCCUACGGGGCGCAGCAGGCGCGAAACCUUUACACUGCACGCAAGUGCGAUAAGGGGACCCCAAGUGCGAGGGCAUAUAGUCCUCGCUUUUCACGACUGUAAGGCGGUCGUGGAAUAAGAGCUGGGCAAGACCGGUGCCAGCCGCCGCGGUAAUACCGGCAGCUCAAGUGAUGACCGAUAUUAUUGGGCCUAAAGCGUCCGUAGCCGGCCACGAAGGUUCAUCGGGAAAUCCGCCAGCUCAACUGGCGGGCGUCCGGUGAAAACCACGUGGCUUGGGACCGGAAGGCUCGAGGGGUACGUCCGGGGUAGGAGUGAAAUCCCGUAAUCCUGGACGGACCACCGAUGGCGAAAGCACCUCGAGAAGACGGAUCCGACGGUGAGGGACGAAAGCUAGGGUCUCGAACCGGAUUAGAUACCCGGGUAGUCCUAGCUGUAAACGAUGCUCGCUAGGUGUGACACAGGCUACGAGCCUGUGUUGUGCCGUAGGGAAGCCGAGAAGCGAGCCGCCUGGGAAGUACGUCCGCAAGGAUGAAA